GUGAAGCUGGUGUUGGGUUUACGUGGGGAUGAGUGUAAGGACUGAAAGGCGGGCUUCUCCAACCAGAGAGAGACGAACACAUCCAAGGUUUUACGGAGCCGUAGUCCAAACCCCCCCUUCCCCACAAGUGAAUCGAGGGCCCUUCGAUCACCCCUGAGAGAGCUGGAAGACCACUGAGGAAAGAUAUGAGGUGACCAUCCGACGAUCAGCGUCGCUCGACCAGGCACUGGUUUACUGCCAUCACUCGUGACCAUCCACCGAUCAGCGUAGCUCCACCAAGUACUAGUCCAC